rnacentral:tRNA from 1 species
UAGAAUGAAGCUCACUGGAUAGAGUAUUUAGCUGUUAACUAAAAGUAUUGUGGGAUCAAGGCCCGUCAUUCUAG